GCUUUUUAUACAGUGUAUUAAUUCUUUUUGUGCAUCAUCUACCUUUCACCUUUGUCAGGAAUAUGUUAUAGAUGGUGCACAGAGGCUGGAAAUGAAACCUGUGAUAUAAGCCGCAGAUGAUUUAUAAGCUUAGCUUUCAUUGAGUGGAGAUUUUGCAGGUGGUUUUCAGCUAGUUGUAGAAUGUCGACCUGCAUGAUCUUCUGAAGUGAAAUCAUAAAAGAUGCAUAUCUCUUUUUCUCCCUCUCUUCAUUGUGUGUUUUAGAAAUUUCAUCCCCAUCAACUUCUUUCAAAAAGGUUUCCCUUAUUCUUAUUUUAAAUUUGCUUCAAUAUACUCCGAUGCCACUUCUUGUGCUUCUUCUACAUCUUAAAUUUCUUUUUCCAAGUUUUACUUUUGUGAAGUGUUCAUAGAUUUAAAAUUAUUUAUAUUGUUUUAUUAA